rnacentral:rRNA from 1 species
AUUGAACGCUGGCGGCAUGCCUUACACAUGCAAGUCGAACGGUAACAGGUCUUCGGAUGCUGACGAGUGGCGAACGGGUGAGUAAUACAUCGGAACGUGCCCGAUCGUGGGGGAUAACGAAGCGAAAGCUUUGCUAAUACCGCAUAAGAUCCAAGGAUGAAAGCAGGGGACCGCAAGGCCUUGCGCGAACGGAGCGGCCGAUGGCAGAUUAGGUAGUUGGUGGGAUAAAAGCUUACCAAGCCGACGAUCUGUAGCUGGUCUGAGAGGACGACCGGCCACACUGGGACUGAGACACGGCCCAGACUCCUACGGGAGGCAGCAGUGGGGAAUUUUGGACAAUGGGCGAAAGCCUGAUCCAGCCAUGCCGCGUGCAGGAUGAAGGCCUUCGGGUUGUAAACUGCUUUUGUACGGAACGAAAAGACUCUGGUUAAUACCUGGGGUCCAUGACGGUACCGUAAGAAUAAGCACCGGCUAACUACGUGCCAGCCGCCGCGGUAAAAC